CUCCUAAGAGCAUGCACACAUGAACAAGCCUGUAUCAAAAGCAGAACCUGAGAUGGGAGUCCUAGAAAAAGCUUCAGAGACCCCCUCCAGGGUGGAGUGGUAGGGAAUGGGACCUUGCCUUUCUCUUUUCUCCUAGCACAGAGGAUCAGUUCUCUUUACAAUGAAACAAAAGCCUGCAGAAUCAAGAUCUGAUACUUUGUUUAAAGGAACAAGGAAGACAAGCUGACUUUUCCCUCAUGAGUCUAUGCACAGUGCCUGUCCCUUUCAGGUCAAAUAAUACCAAUGGGUACCAAGAGAUUGAACAGGCCUACUUUUUGCAGACCAGGCUACCUGUGGCCCUGGGAAACGUUAAGCUCUGCACUUUCCUAAUCAUCUUAGGUUUUAGCAUGCCCAUCCAGAUGCGGUUUUGGUGUUUCAGCUGACCUAUCUCUGCCCAGUGUGGAGGAUAUACAGUACUCUGUGGUUCUUCCCUUCAAGUAAUAAUAGGAUUCUCCACUGCCCAGGAAGCAAAGAUCCUGGGUGAGGGAUUGGGGAAAGAGUAGAAUGCCCCAGCAACUCAGUCACAUUACCAGAUGGCUGACAACACCUUCGGCUAUCCUCCACUCCAAAGAGAUUUCCCAAAUAUGUCAACCCCUCCAGGCAAGAAACUGACAGUGUGAUGGUACUCUCAGGCAGAACAGGGCCAAGGACAGAAGGGGAUUAGCCUAAAUCUGGCUUUCUGCCACACUGGGGUUUCUCUUAUUAGAUAAAAGCCACAGAUAAAAUUCAAAUGAAAGAGUAUCAGAAAGUUAGGCUUGAGCCCUGUGAGUAAAGGACUAUUUGAGUUCACUGUGCUCACAAAUGCAUUACCCAGGGAGAUACCGUGUCCUUGGGGAAUUUAAACUUCACCAAAGGGGAGGCAAGUUGGAAGGGAGUAGAGCUAUCUGCCCCACAGUAAACAAAGGCGGAGCCUAAGCAGGGGUAAAGGGCUAUCUGCCUCUCCCCUGUGAGUGUGUGUUCUAGUACUGGGGAAAGAGAAAGGAAAGCAAAGCAACCAAAGAAAGGUUGCUUAGUCCACCAGGCCCACGAAUAGAAGAGAACCACACAACAGUCAAGCAUUCUAACCUCUCCAGAGACUAGGAAUUUAGGAUUAAGGCCAGAAUCAAAGCCCACUCCCUCGGUAGUACUCUUAAGGUUUUUGUUAUUACUUUUUUUUUUCUUUUUGAGGCAGAGGUAGUGUGCUGACCUUACACUCCCGCAGUUGACCCCUCACUCCCCCAGUGCCGAUACUCGCCCAGGCUGGAGUACAGUGGCAUGAUCCAAUCCUGGUUCACUGCCACCUCCGCCUCCAGGGUUGAAGCAAUUCUUGUGCCUCAGCCUCCCAAGUAGCUGGGAUUACAGGCAUG
rnacentral:lncRNA from 1 species